rnacentral:rRNA from 1 species
CCUACGGGAGACUGCAGUGAGGAAUAUUGGUCAAUGGACGCAAGUCUGAACCAGCCAUGCCGCGUGCAGGAAGACGGCUCUAUGAGUUGUAAACUGCUUUUGUACGAGGUUAAACGCAGAUACGUGUCUCUGUCUGAAAGUAUCGUACGAAUAAGGAUCGGCUAACUCCGUGCCAGCAGCCGCGGUAAUACGGAGGAUUCAAGCGUUAUCCGGAUUUAUUGGGUUUAAAGGGUGCGUAGGCGGUCGGAUAAGUUAGGGGUGAAAUCCCGAGGCUCAACUUCGGAAUUGCCUCUGAUACUGUUGGGCUAGAGAGUAGUUGCGGUAGGCGGAAUGUAUGGUGUAGCGGUGAAAUGCUUAGAGAUCAUACAGAACACCGAUGGCGAAGGCAGCUUACCAAGCUACUUCUGACGUUGAGGCACGAAAGCGUGGGGAGCAAACAGGAUUAGAUACCCGUGUAUC